rnacentral:rRNA from 1 species
GAUGAACGCUAGCUACAGGCUUAACACAUGCAAGUCGAGGGGCAGCAUGAAGUUUGCCUGCAAACUUUGAUGGCGACCGGCGCACGGGUGAGUAACGCGUAUCCAACCUGCCCCGUACUCGGGUAUAGCCCAGCGAAAGCUGGAUUAAUCCCCGAUGUCACCUUUAUGGUGCAUGCCAUAUUGGUUAAAGUUAUUCAGUACGGGAUGGGGAUGCGUCUGAUUAGGUAGUAGGCGGGGUAACGGCCCACCUAGCCGACGAUCAGUAGGGGUUCUGAGAGGAAGGUCCCCCACACUGGAACUGAGACACGGUCCAGACUCCUACGGGAGGCAGCAGUGAGGAAUAUUGGUCAAUGGGCGAGAGCCUGAACCAGCCAAGUAGCGUGCAGGAUGACGGCCCUACGGGUUGUAAACUGCUUUUAUGCGGGGAGGAAACCUCUGGAUUUACUCCGGAGCUGACGGUACCUGAAGAAUAAGCACCGGCUAACUCCGUGCCAGCAGCCGCGGUAAUAC